CAGGUGCUGCAUGGCUGUCGUCAGCUCGUGCCGUGAGGUGUUUGGUUCAGUCCUUUAACGAGCGCAACUCUUAUUUUAUAUUGGUACANNNNNNNAAUAACAUUNNNNNNNUACAACUUAUAAAAAACUGCUUAUGAUAAAUAAGAGGAAGGUGAGAAUGACGUCAAGCCCUUAUGGCCUUUAUAAAUUGGGCUACACACGUGCUACAAUGGUAAUCACAAAAAGUUAUACAAUAAAGCAAUUUAAAGUAAAUCUUUAAAAAAUUACCUUGUUCGGAUUAUUGACUGCAAUUCGUCAAUAUAAAGUUGGAAUCACAAGUAAUCGUAAAUCAGCACGUUACGGUGAAUUUUGUACUUAGAUCUUGCACACACCGCCCGUCACAUGCUGGGAAUG
rnacentral:rRNA from 1 species